UGGGGAAUAUUGCACAAUGGAGGAAACUCUGAUGCAGCAACGCCGCGUGGAGGAUGACGCAUUUCGGUGUGUAAACUCCUUUUAUAAGGGAAGAUAAUGACGGUACCUUAUGAAUAAGCACCGGCUAACUCCGUGCCAGCAGCCGCGGUAAUACGGAGGGUGCAAGCGUUACUCGGAAUCACUGGGCGUAAAGGAUGCGUAGGCUGGAAAUCAAGUCGAGAGUGAAAUCCAACGGCUCAACCGUUGAACUGCUCUCGAAACUGGUUACCUAGAAUAUGGGAGAGGUAGAUGGAAUUGGUGGUGUAGGGGUAAAAUCCGUAGAUAUCACCAGGAAUACCGAUUGCGAAGGCGAUCUACUGGAACAUUAUUGACGCUGAGGCAUGAAAGCGUGGGGAGCAAACAGG
rnacentral:rRNA from 1 species